CAGGCUAAAGCUGGAACUCGCUCGAACUGGCUCGGCAACUCUCUCAAUGGCAUAUUUUGCUGUCUAGUUUGGCGAGGCAUGCCUACGUGGGUUGAGGGGUGAUGCUGGCAUUGCCGAGUGUGCAUUUGUUGCUUCUCAGGUGACUGAGCUUCCAUUCUUUGCAUCCAAAGUGCACCUCGGUUGUACUGCGGCCAAGGAGGUUCUUCCCCUUGGCCCACUGAAUGAGUACAAAAGAGCUGGCUUGGAAGAGGCAAGAAAAGAGUUAGCGGAGAGUAUUCAGAAGGGCAUUUCAUUUAUCAAGAAGUGAGUGGGUUAAAGACGUGGCUUUUCGUAA